UACAGAGGGUGCGAGCGUUAAUCGGAAUUACUGGGCGUAAAGCGCGCGUAGGCGGCUUUGCAAGUCGGGUGUGAAAUCCCCAGGCUUAACCUGAGAACUGCAUUCGAGACUGCAUUGCUAGAGUAUGGGAGAGGGAAGUGGAAUUUCCGGUGUAGCGGUGAAAUGCGUAGAUAUCGGAAGGAACAUCAGUGGCGGAAAGCGACUUCCUGGACCAAUACUGACGCUCAUGUGCGAAAGCGUGGGGAGCAAACAGG
rnacentral:rRNA from 1 species